rnacentral:rRNA from 1 species
CCUACGGGAGGCUGCAGUGGGGAAUAUUGGACAAUGGGGGGAACCCUGAUCCAGCCAUGCCGCGUGUGUGAAGAAGGCCCUCGGGUUGUAAAGCACUUUCAGUGAGGAAGAAUGCCUGGUGGUUAAUACCCAUCAGGAAAGACAUCACUCACAGAAGAAGCACCGGCUAACUCCGUGCCAGCAGCCGCGGUAAUACGGAGGGUGCGAGCGUUAAUCGGAAUUACUGGGCGUAAAGCGCGCGUAGGUGGCUUGAUAAGCCGGUUGUGAAAGCCCCGGGCUCAACCUGGGAACGGCAUCCGGAACUGUCAAGCUAGAGUGCAGGAGAGGAAGGUAGAAUUCCCGGUGUAGCGGUGAAAUGCGUAGAGAUCGGGAGGAAUACCAGUGGCGAAGGCGGCCUUCUGGACUGACACUGACACUGAGGUGCGAAAGCGUGGGUAGCAAACAGGAUUAGAUACCCUGGUAGUC